GGAAUUCUAGAAGUAAAACCAGUUCCAUACAAUGUGGUGCUUGAAGAUGACACUUACAAAGGAGAGAUAAAAAUUGGACUCAAAUUCAUUACCAAUGUAAGUUCCAUGUUUGUGAAAUUAUCAACAUUUCUGUUGUUUGUUAUUCAUUAGCAGGCUUAUCACUGAGAGGAUAGAAUCACCAUAUUUUGCGGAAAGAAGUGCAUAUGGAGAAAAGG
rnacentral:misc_RNA from 1 species